rnacentral:rRNA from 1 species
UGGGGAAUAUUGGACAAUGGGCGCAAGCCUGAUCCAGCAAUGCCGCGUGAGUGAUGAAGGCCUUCGGGUCGUAAAGCACUUUUGUCCGGAAAGAAAUCCUUGGCUCUAAUACAGUCGGGGGAUGACGGUACCGGAAGAAUAAGCACCGGCUAACUACGUGCCAGCAGCCGCGGUAAUACGUAGGGUGCAAGCGUUAAUCGGAAUUACUGGGCGUAAAGCGUGCGCAGGCGGUUUGCUAAGACUGAUGUGAAAUCCCCGGGCUCAACCUGGGAACUGCAUUGGUGACUGGCAGGCUAGAGUAUGGCAGAGGGGGGUAGAAUUCCACGUGUAGCAGUGAAAUGCGUAGAGAUGUGGAGGAAUACCGAUGGCGAAGGCAGCCCCCUGGGCCAAUACUGACGCUCAUGCACGAAAGCGUGGGGAGCAAACAGGAUUAGAUACCCUGGUAGUCCACGCCCUAAACGAUGUCAACUAGUUGUUGGGGGAUUCAUUUUCCUUAGUAACGUAGCUAACGCGUGAAGUUGACCGCCUGGGGAGUACGGUCGCAAGAUUAAAAGCUCAAAGGAAUUGACGGGGGUCAUAGCAUGUUUUU